AAUAAGGACUCAGGAAAAUUCGGAGGCAUUACUUUCCAAGUGAAAUAUUUUUAUUUUUGUUUUUUCCAAGUGAAGGCAAAACCAUAUUGGCUAGCUUUAUCUACUGGAAUGUUACAUAAUGGAUUGCAUGUAUCAAUUACAGUAAAUAACUUACUUCUUGUCAGGGUAGAUGUUAGUAGCAAUAUGAGGGUUAGGGAUGAUGUCAAGGGAUAACAAUUAUGUUUAUUGCUCAGAGUUGCUGGACAAACUUCUACCCUUAGCCCUUAGAUUUACUUACCAGUAAAAUAAGAGUGUUAAUAGAGUUUUAGCAAAGAAGAUAAUGAGAUAAAAGAAUUUUAUCAUCUUUUAUUAUGGGAUUUAUGCCUUGAAGGGCUUUUACCUAUAGGGUAUUGAUUAAUUAUGGGAAGAAGUUCUAAGGGAUCUAUUUUAUAAUCAUGUUGGGAGGCAUGCUGUGAAUUUUGCCAAUGUCAGUUGGAAAUUUUUCCCAUAAGAAAAGUGACAGCUGAUUCAAUAAGGACAAAUGACCAGUGUUUCCAGAAUCAACUCUAGUGCUCUCAGUGAUAAAACAAAUGAAAGAUGUCGAAGGGUCAUUUAAUUCAUCUGGUUGGUUAAUUUUAUGACUAUUGUCAAAUUCUAGAAUUAUUUUCCCCUUUUGGAAGAAAGCAAUUCCAGCAUGGCAUUUCUCUAAGAAAUCUCAACCUAAUAAAAGAAUAGGAGUAGAGGAACUAAGGAUAAUCUGGCUUGUAUUUCUUAAAGGGUCUAAGCAAUAGGGAGUAGUUUCAGGCACAGGAAUCUUUUGAUAUCCAUUAGCAAUCCCUACUAUUUGAACUCUUUUAGUAGUCUGUGGCAGGGAAUACCAAGACUAUGGCUCUGGUAUCACUUAGGAGUGGAAAGAUUCACCUUCUUUCUGGAGAAAUGUUUCUCCAAGCCAAUUAAGCAGAAAGAUUUGCAAGAGCUUCUGUAAUUCCUCAAAACUCUGUACUUGGGGAGUUGGAGAAUAACGGAAAGGCUGAUUAGGUUGAAGCUGCCCAAAGUGCAUAAAUUUGCAAAAAUCUCUCUUUUUUUUUUUUUGAUGUCCUUGUUCUUUAUGAUAACAGAAGAAACUUGAAGAAUUUUGUUUCAUUUGGGGCUUUGAUUUGCUAGAAUUGAAGACUAAGAAUUUUGGCAUUCUUUCUUUUAGGUGACUCAUUUAGUGUGUAAGAGAGGUGGUUUGCCAGAUUUUUUAAAUCUAGAGCAGAAACAAUUUUCCAUUCAAUCCUGGUCCUUUUUACUAGAAAAAAAUGUCCUAGGUUAUUGCAUCAAUAAACAGAGUUAAAAUCUUCCCAGGUGGAAUCAACAUCAGAAGGAAGAUCAGAAUUUUCUAUAAAUAUAACUUUAAAUCGAUUGUAAUUAUUAUGAAUAGAUUCAUCAGAUUUACAUAUACAAAGAUAAAUUUCUUCUAAUCAAUAGGCUUUGGAAAAGCCCUCGGUAGGAAUUGCUCAGUGAAGAUGCCUACUGAUUUCUUUCUCUCUCUGUCUCCCUCUUUUUUUUUUUUUGGCCAGGCCCUCAACAUACAGAAGGUCCAGAGCCAGGGAUCAAAUCUGUGCCACUGCAAUGACAAUGCCAAAUAUUUAACCCAUUGAGUCACCAGGGAACUCCACCUAGUUAUUUCUUGAACUGAAUCAUAUAAUAAAUUAGUAGGCUGGUCCCCCAAUUGUAAUCCUAGACACCAUACAGAAUUUUCCCAAUUAGCUGUUCUCAGCCAGUGUUGGACCUGACUUCAUGGACAAGAAUUUGAAAUAGCUGAUAUAAGUCAGAGUCACCAGGCUGAUAAGUUUUAAAGAUGAUAUUAAAUUCCUUAGCAAAAAUGUGAGAAGCUUUGGUUACUUUGGGAAAAUCUUUGACUAUAACUUGCAGUUCAGAUUUAGUCAUAUAAUAGAUUGUGAGUUUAGCCUCUGGAUCUUCAGAAGGCUUUAUUUUAAGUGGACAGGUUUUGAAAAAGUCUGAGGAAAAGGGAGUGGGAAAUUCCUUGAGAGAAUUAGUAUGAAGGAACUAAGUGGUAUAGGCAGUAUAGAAAGGGAGGAGGAAGGUGAGCCUGAAGGCAGAGUCUGACCACAAGGGGUCAAGGGAGAGAGAAAUGAUAGUGCUGCAGGCAGAUCUUGAGACAGAGAUGGCAAGAAAGUCUAGCCUGAGGGUUUGGGAGCCAUUUUUAUCUUUUUUUAAAUAGCUUGUUUUCUUCGGUUAAUGUUAAGAUUUUAUUUUUCUGAGAGGCAAUUUUAGACCUGAUAACUUUGGGAAGAUGCAAAAUAGCAAUUAAGAGAGGACUUCCAUUCAGUUCUGGAGAUUUUUGAGUUACAUUAAUGCAGUUUGAUUUUUUUAAAAAUUAAGUUUUGGAAUUUCAAGUUUUUCUUGGAGUUCCUCUUGUGUCUUAGUGGGUUAAGGACCUGGUGUUCUUUCUGUGAGGAUGAGGGUCAAUCCCUGGCCUUUCUCAGUGGGUUAAGGAUCUGGCAUUGCUGUGGCUGUGCUGUAGACCUGUAUCUGCAGCUCCUAUUUGACCCCUAGUCUGGGCACUUCUAUAUGGCACUGGUGUGGCCAUCCAUAUUCUAAACUGCAUUUGGUCAGGUCCGUCGACUUAAUUAGAAAUGCUCAACAGAAGUGAUCCCAGUUUUUAAGCAUAAAAUCAACUAGAAUUUUUUUGCGGGGGCACCCUCAAAUAUUUUGAUAAUUUAUAUCCCAUUUAUGAGAUUUUUCUCCAGUGUUAAAUUAUAAUUUUCAAACUUUUAAAAUAGCUUACAGCUCUACCAGCUCAGUUCAAGUAACCUGUAACUCAAACACCUGACAGUUUUAAAGAAAGUUCUCGCUCCUAGGGAAGCCAGGACAAAAGUUUUUUGACCAGUAUCUGUAGGACUUCCUCUAUUCCAAAAGAAUAGGUCAACAGUUGAAAACCUGGCACAGUUGCACAGAAGUUGCUAUUCCCAAAGGAAUGGUCUGAAGACCUCUCAGUCAGCUUUAGCCAAAACUGUCUGAUCUCAGAAUCAGACCAAAGUGCCAAAUGAGUAUUCACAUGCAGAAUAAGACAUUAACCAGAAAGAAUAAAACCUUAAAAUAGUUCCCAAAUAAAGUCAGGAGAGCUUUAUAUGCAAAGAGUGCAUGAGAUUAGAUCCAGCAGAAAGAUUUACCUUCAAACUCUAGGGUUUGCAUGAAAAGGAUUGAGCACAAUUGGCUCAAUUGUGAGUUCUGCAUAUGUUUACUCACCAGUCUGCUGGAGCCUUCGUGCAUCUUUCUGGUCCCUCAUGGGCCACCAAAAUGUUAUCUUAAAACAAAUAGACUUCCAGAUAUUUCUUUGACAAAGAUGACUUUAUUUGAGAUCAAUAGAGUAUUGCAAUUUGAGACCUGCAACCAAGGUGAGCCACAUGAAAGUCCUUCACACAGCAAAGGAAGGAAAAUACUGUUAUAGAGGGGAAAAGGAAGUUGGGAGGGCUAUAGUGAAUAAAGUGAUUUUUUUUCAUUGGCUGUGUCCUUGCCAUGAAAGAAGAGGAAUCUUUCCUGUUUCUGUUGGGCUUUGCUAUCUUCAUUAACUGUGAGAACCCCCAAGUCUUCUGAAUAGGUUUAAUUAAGCUUUCUACUUACUAAUUUUUUUUUUUUUUUUGUCUUUUUAGGGCUGCAAUCCUGGCAUAUGGAAGUUCCCAGGCUAGGGGUUGAUGGAGCUAUAGCCGCAGGCCUACUGUAGAACCACAGCUACGUGGAAUCCAAGUCUCAAGCUUCUGUAACCUAUACCACAACUCAAUGGAAAGAGCAAAGAUAAAUCCUUUAACCCACUGAGCAAGACCAGAGAUUGAACCCCCAUGCUCGUGGAUAUUAAUUGGGUUCAUUACCACUGAACCACAGAAGGAACUCCAAAUUUAUUAAAUUUUUUUAUACAAAGCAAGUUUCAAAGUUAUCAUGUUCCCCUCAUCAAUUCCUUCCACACAAACAUAAGUAUAUAUAUUUACAUUUAUAUAUUCUGUAUAUAUGAGAAAGAGCCUGGAGAGAACACAGAUUGUGAUGAGUGGAAAGACUACCUAUAACAAAUGAAAUCAAAUAUCCCUAUCUCUGCAAACUUGCUAGUCAUCCCUGUGUAUUAUUUUAAGUUAUUUAUAAUCUUCUGGUACCACAUUGCAUAGGUUAGAACUUUGAUAAGAUUUAUAUUACCUAACUCAGCCAACUGAAAGUAUCAUAGCUGGCUUUCCAAGCUAUCACAUUAAAUGAUAUCUAUUUCUGUGUGUGCAUGUGUGUGUGUGUGUGCGUGUGUGCAUACAAAUAUGCACAUGUGAAAAAAUGCAUAUCUAUAGCAAUGAAAAAUGCCAACAAAUGUAUCUUCUUUAAGAACCUUCAAAUUGCACUUAUAAAAUUUCCCACUUUUAAAAAUACAUAUAAAUUAGGAAAGUCUUAUAAAUCAUUUUUGAAUGUGAUUUUUUUCUUCCUUCUGGAUAUUUCACCCCAUUCUGACUGCCAUAUUUAACUAUACUUCUGGUUAAAGUUCAAAAUAAAAUGAUUGAAGAAUGAAGCAAAUUAUUUUUUUUCAGUACAAAGAAACUAUAGUAAUAAUUUCAGAAUAGCUUGGAUUAGAAAAGGACUGGGUCAAGAAAGUUUCUGAAUCUAUACACCCUCUGACAUACCGUUAUUAUAUUUUCCAUCCUUUCCAGGAUGGUGUUCUAACAUUUAUUAGAGAAGUAAAACAUUUCUGAAUUUAGUGGGUGUGUUUAGUUGAAAUUUUAUUUUUAUGAAACAGCUUCUGGAAAAGUUGGCCCUAUGACUAUAGCAGUAAUUCCUUCAGGAGAAGCACAUGAAAGCCUUACAUUUUAUUCUUCUUAUUCUCUUGAGGUAAACUUUUGAGAAUUAAAAUAGUCAUUCUAUUAUUUGAUGUCACAUGCAGGAGUCCAACACUGAAAUCUGCUAUGUCUCAUCUCUCACAGAUCUCCGGCAGCAGGUUUUUUUGUUUGCUAGCAACAACAAUUUACCUUGGCUCACCUGAGUGAAAAAGAAAAAAAAAAAAAA
rnacentral:lncRNA from 9 species